rnacentral:rRNA from 1 species
UGGGGAAUAUUGCACAAUGGGCGAAAGCCUGAUGCAGCAACGCCGCGUGAGGGAAGAAGGGUUUCGGCUCGUAAACCUCUAUCGAUGGGGAAAAAUAAAGAUUGUACCCAAGUAAGAAGCCCCGGCUAACUACGUGCCAGCAGCCGCGGUAAUACGUAGGGGGCAAGCGUUAUCCGGAAUCACUGGGUGUAAAGGGUGAGUAGGCGGUAUGGAAAGUCAUAUGUGAAAAGGGAGGGCUCAACCCUCCUCGUGCAUAAGAAACUUCCGAACUAGAGUACAGAAGAGGUAAGCGGAAUUCCUAGUGUAGCGGUGAAAUGCGUAGAUAUUAGGAAGAACACCGGUGGCGAAGGCGGCUUACUGGGCUUGUACUGACGCUGAUACACGAAAGCGUGGGGAGCAAACA